UAAAAACAACAACAAGAAAGUAAACCUCAAAAUACAUUUAAUCAAAAGUAAGAGAAAAAAGAAACCCAAGAAAAUCCCAGAUUUCUUUUAAGUGCUGCCAAAAGCAGAGCUGAACAGGAAGCCCAUGUUGUUUCUUCAGUUAACAAGAUCAACCUUGCUGGGAAAUGAACAAGUGACCAGGGUUCCUGUGUGAAGAACAUGACUCUGGAUAGGACAGCUCUGCAGUUGAGACAGACGCUGAAGGAGCUGGAGGCUACCUGCUGACCACUCUCCCCAGCAGCU